GACGAACGCUGGCGGCGUGCUUAACACAUGCAAGUCGAGCGGUAAGGCCCUUUUGGGGGUACACGAGCGGCGAACGGGUGAGUAACACGUGGGUGACCUGCCCUCAGCUCUGGGAUAAGCCUGGGAAACUGGGUCUAAUACUGGAUAUGACCUUUCCUCGCAUGGGGUUGGGUGGAAAGUUUUUCGGCUGGGGAUGGGCCCGCGGCCUAUCAGCUUGUUGGUGGGGUGAUGGCCUACCAAGGCGACGACGGGUAGCCGGCCUGAGAGGGCGACCGGCCACACUGGGACUGAGACACGGCCCAGACUCCUACGGGAGGCAGCAGUGGGGAAUAUUGCGCAAUGGGCGGAAGCCUGACGCAGCGACGCCGCGUGGGGGAUGACGGCCUUCGGUU
rnacentral:rRNA from 1 species